rnacentral:lncRNA from 1 species
GUCAAUCAACCGCAGGAGGACCGUCCACCGUGCCUUACCUAGCGAUAAUUAAGUGUUUUGGGACUUUGUGCUGCAUUUCUAAAAGAUGGAGCGACUAAUUCUCACAGUCACACCUCUCGGAAUGGAAAUACUGGUGGUUAUUUCAGCCGGAACUGCUGAAACGUGAGGCGCACUGCUGUGAACCAUUAGAGUAAAUUUGGCGCUGUAACAGGUGACGAGCACGAGGGAACAAUCAAAGUAAGUUAAAACAUAUUCUUUACCGGGUUUUCUUUAUUGUAUUAUUAUUUUUUUAAUAUCUGGUGAUUUAGCCCUCUGCUUUUUUCCUCUAAGUCUUCCUCGAGACCUUACUAAAUUUGCGUACUUUGAAAAAAUGAAGCUUAACCGUUAAAAAAAUAUAUAAAAAAAAUAAAAACACGAGUGCAAAAUUACCCCCCCCCCCCCCAAAAAAAAAAAAAAUAAAUAAAUAAAUCUGUAAGUUGUUCAGUCUAAACCUUAUACCCUUGUUUGAUUGAUACCCUCCAAAUAUUUAAAAUCGUCUUUUUUCAUCCUAUUUCACAGUCAAUAAGUAUAGAGCAUUAAAUUAUUUACUUAUUUUGAGGAUGCAACAACAAUUACUCCACAAGCAGAAAUGUUAAUUGUAAAUCGCAUGCAAAAAAAAGAUUAAUAAAAUUUGUAGAUUAACUGUGUGCCUGGAUUAAAUAAAGCAAACACAAUGACUAAAAUGAUAUUUUUAAAUUAACAUAAAGUUACAAUUAAAGCUUCCAUACACAAAUCACAGCCUUUCUUUUUUUUAACUCUCAAAAUGAGUCACACAGCUUGAAAUGUAAUGCCAAUAAAAAUAUAUGUAUCUAGUGAAAAUUAAAAAAGUUAUCAUAAACUUAGUCUUGAUUGUGGCAUUAUUUUUCUACAGUUUUAUUGAAGAUAUUAAAGUGAGGUCAGAAAAAUACAGACAGGAUUUAUAGUUCAUUCCAUAAUUGAAAAUAAUAGUCUGCAAAGUUGAGUCUGCCUCCACUCACUCAAAAACAUUGAGUGAAAUUAAAAAGAACUGUUUGGUCAGCUUAAUGACUUCAAAACAAAAUAAAAAACUUUACUUCUAGGGCACUUUAAUUUUGCAUAUUGAGUGAUUUCUUUUCAAUAUAGGAAAAGGAAUUGGAGUUUAACAGUGAAUGGAUAUUUAAUAUCUCCUUUCUGCAUCAAUUCACAUUUGUGCAGUAAAUUUUGCUGUCACUUACAUUUGGAAAACUACUAAAUGAUUAAUUGUAUCUGGUAUUGUCAUGUGAAGCAUUAGUAGCUUGAAAAACAGAUCCAGUUACACUAUUCCUCCAACUUCUUGUGGCAUAACUCAGAGUAGCUAACCAUCUUUCAUGCGUCACAAGGACGGCAUCAUGUGAUUAAACAGAACGGGAUGUCAGUGAGGUUGACCUGUGCAGCGAUUAUUUUCAAUGACACAGUCCAACAAAGGAGAGUCAAAGUGAAAUGCAAGUUCCCCCUGGGUGCAAAAACUUCUCUGUCUGUGCAUGAAUCAUAAUAAACUUGCAAUCGGUCUAAGUGACAUUUGCUUGGACCAUGUCAAAAAUAAUCUUUGGGAAUUGUUGGAAUUGUGCCAUUUUUGCAUGAAGCACAAAAGAUUCUGGCAAGCCAUUAUUUUGCCAGAAUAAAUAAAAAUCUUAGAUUUAGAAAUAAAUAUGUAAAUAAUUAAAAUCGCUUAAACUUUUAUGGGUUUUCUGCUGUUUUAAUGAGUCUACUCUUUAACGAGUGGGCCAAAGUUGGCAUAAAACGGCAUGUAAAUUUACUGAGUCUUCUAAGCCAUAGCCAUAUUUUUAUUGUUUCCUAAAAGAAGUAUGAAACUCAUUUCAUCCCCAAGAAGCCUCUCGAUAUCUUUCAACACAGACUUACAAUGACUAAAGAGUAAAACACUGCUCGGUUUUUAUAUGACAGGCCACAGAGACAGAUGCCACUGGGAUACAGUGAAGCAGCUGCAGACGUUAUAGAUAUGCCAAAACAUUUCUCCUUUGUUUUAGAUUCAGAGAUACCCCAGGAGAAAGUAUGCAGGAAAUUUCCAAUGUACACAAAGCUGUCAAAUUUCUUCUCAUACGGGGGGGUGGGGUGGGGUGGGGUGGGGGGUGGGGGGGGGGGUGAUGGAGACUGAAGAAAAGACAUAUAGCCCAUAAAAAGCUGGUCCUCAAAAGUACUCAGGAGGAUUCACAGUACAAGUGAUCCUCAUGAGCAUAAGAAAGUACAGAAAGCUGCUCUGGAAGCAAGAAUUCAGAAUAAAUGAUUUGUCAUCAAACAUGCCUUUCUUGUAAUGUGCCACGUUGAAACCGAGCAGCAGGGCUCUCACGGGUUAAACUAGCCGGCUUGAUUUAUUUGCCUCCGCUGGGUUUGACUGUAUUGAUUCCAGGUCACUUGACUGGCUGACUUCAGAUCAUGUUCAGGUGACUUCAACACAGAUGGAACAAAACGGCAGGGCACCGAGAAAGCAACUUUCCCCUCCCAUAAUGAGUUCCAUACAGACUCAGUAUUGAGCGGAGCCUGAAGAGAAGUGAAAGAUGUUGGAGAAAUGAUAUUAAUACGCCUCUAAUAUUGCCCACAGAGAUCUUUCUGCCACGCUAUGUUAUAAAGGCGGCAGAGUAAUAAAAUAAGUUUAAUAGAGAACAGAGAUGUCUGAAUGGUAUAAAUCCUCUCCUGUUCCUCUGAGGCCUCUUAAUGCAACAAAACCAAAGCACACCAUACUGCACUAUUCCAGUAAUGUGCGCUUUGUCUCAGCAGAAUCAAAACAGCCUGUUUUAGAGUUACACUCAUCACAGAAAUCCACAGUAAAUAGAAAACAAACCUCAUGAUACGUGAAACAAAUCAACUGUUAAAUUAUCUUCUAAUAAUGCAGUGCAGUGAGGAGAAACUGAUUUCAGCUCAGAUAUGCUUGAAAAAUUGCAGCUCACAGUUUAUCAGAUAUAUCACUAAAUUACAUUAUGAGAGAGCAUCCUUUUGACCAGAGGCAUGCUGGGAAAUGAAGCUACAUAUCAUCAGGAAUGCAAAGUCAGCAUUAUUUAGCAUGUCUGCAUCAUUUUAUGCAAAUAUAAUCGCUUUGUAUAUCCUUUAGAGUCUAUUAUCAAUACAAAUAAAAUGUGGGUUUAUGAUUUAAUGACCAAACAAAGUGGUGAUACAUUUACUGUACAGGGAACAUACUGCAUAUGAACCACAUCAUGAGAUGCAUUGAUAGAAAUUAUGAUGUUUGCGCACAACCUUUAACUCUCUUUAACUCUAAAACAAUUAAUGAUAAAUCAUUAAAGCAGCAUAUAAAUGUGGAUUAUUUCAUUGCAGUUUUAUCCUGAAAUUAAUUAAAAAUAAUUAGAAAAAUUAUACUUUAGUAACACCCAUGAAACUACUACUCAAAACUUAAGUCUUGUUUCUUGCAGCUGCUGUAUAAAAAUAUAGUGGUACAUUAAAUUUUUAAUAACUUAUCUGAAAUAGCUUCUUGUUCCUUGCAGGUUUGUAUUGAAGAUUUCUACAAUGGCAGAGAAGAAAAUUUUCCUAUAAUUUUGCAUUUUCUCAAAACUAAUUUUAUCUGCCAAAUUAUUUAAUUAUUUUAAACAAAAACUCUAAAUGAGAAUAAGUCAAAAAGAAACUGAAAAAUCUUUAUAUUAAAUCUAUAAAUAUACCCUUUUAUAUAAAUAAGAAUAAUAAUCAACAACCACACAUUUAGUUUUAGAUUUUCACCAACAUAUUCGGCUAACAUGGUCAAAGUAAAACUUUUGUGCAGCAGUUUAAUCAGACGAUUCAGUUAUAAUAUUUUUAUUAAAAUAUCAUCAUAAAACAGUAUGAAUUGUUAGGUAAACUGUUAGCAAAACAGAAGUAAAGUAUGGAAAUGUUUUGUUGUGCAUCAGAGUGGAUGAGUGCUGUGGGUUUCCUUUGCAAAGCUGUGUGACGUGUCAUUGCAUCAACACUGCCACCGAGAGGUCAACAGUAGAACCCUUCAAGUGUCCUUUUUACCAAAACACGUGAAACUCUCUAUUUAGAAUAAUAUUUUGAUAUAAGCUAAAGGUGGCCUUGAGUAUUGGCUCUCAUUUUUUAAUGCAGCUGUUUGUAGAUGCAGGCCAUGAAAAUUUAGGUAUGUUUUGACCUAUAAAGUAAGUUUUCUCAGAAGAGAAGUGGCAUCAAAAUAGAUUAAUGUGCCUGGGGCUCAAUUAUGGAUAACUGUCUCGCACAUAUACAAAUAUGUGUAUAUUUUUAAAAGAAAAGUUUGAAUUUAACUCUGAAUUAACCAUCUUAAAGAUAAUUCUCUUUUCAGUUUUUAAAUGCGUCAAGGACUUGAGUCAUCUCAAAACCUAUAUGCAGAAAAAUAAAAAUGUGCAUAAAACAAGCAAAAAUGCUGAUACAUUUGUUGGUGUAGGGCUGUUUUUAUUGCUUGGAUGUUAAUGAAUAUAAAUUAUUUAUCUGGGCUGUUGAAAGAGGCCAGCUUUCAGUUCAUCUAAAUGGAUUUGAACUUUGAAUUAAAUCAGAGAAUUUGACUCUAUCCCCCCAGUGACUCCCGUUAUCUGGAGUUAAACACAGGCUACGUCAUGUCAGUGAGGAUGAAAUGAAGCAAAGGAGGGUUGGCACACUUUAAGCUAUCUUUAUCCGUUAGCAUAUUGAGCUUGAACUUAACCCAUUCAAAACGGCCACUCUGGUCUGGAAUCGAUUUCACCUCAAGCUCCAGAGGGCUUACGGUGAGGUAUUGCACUCAGUCGGCAUCGGCAGCUGGAAAAAGAGGAAGGAAAUAAAAUGGCCGGCUCUCCAUAAAAAGUUGGUGUGUGAUCCCUGACCCUGCGCUGAGAAAGAGCCACUGACUCCUCUAAUCUAAGGGGACCUUUAGCAUGUGGAUUAACCUUAGCCGAGAGCACGUUUGCACAAAGAGGAGGAGGAGGACUGACUGUGUUAAACCCUAACAAGUGGAAAAAUCAAACCCUAUUUGAAAAAACUCAGUCUUUACCUUAAGUUUUAUUUAUUUUGAUUUGUCCUACCAGACAAAAGUGACUUUGUUUGCAACUUUCUGAAGUUAAACUGCACUGCUACAGAAGACAUGGAGACACUCCUAAUUAUAAAAAGACAUUUAUUCAGAGCUCAAGACAAAGAAAAAAAACAGAGACUGUCUGCUUAUCUGUCCUAAAUAGUUGACUGCACCCGACCUCACCACCACCUUCCCAGCAUAUUGGUUUACCCCUGCCAAAAAUUUAAUUCAAUCCCACUUAGUUGCUCCAGCUUUAAUUAAAUCGACCAAAAGCCCUGGCAGGAUUUAAUUCACUUCCUUGUUAAGUGAACUUUACAGACACUGUAGAACUUUCACUAGCGAACUGUGGGGACAUGAGGGGAAGGACACUUAAAGUUUAACUGUCUUAGAAUUAAAAAAGGCUAAUUCAAGGCACUAAUCUGUGUGAGGCUAAGACAGAAAUCAGUGUCGUCGUUGCUUUAGGGUGGUGUCUGUGAUAGUUAAAAAGAAAUGUGGGGGGAUGUUGCACGCCUGUUGCAAAGCAGACAACACUUUUUACCAUCAUAAUAAAUCUCAGCGCCAUAAAACUGAGGCCCAGUAAAACGUGAUUCGGCUGACAGUCAUGAAGAAAUGAAUGCCUUGAUGAAAUGGCAGUCAUCAAUCAUGGCGUAGGUUUUGGAUGCUAACGUCCCGGCUUAGCUCUCUACUAAUUGAUAAGAACUGUGGGCAUAAAUCAGCUGCUGUGUGUUGAUGCUUUGUGCUGUUGUCGCUGUGGUUUGUGUUUCAGAGCCACAGAUAAAUUUUCCCAUCGUACAGACUGAGCAGAAGACGACAUGAGUUGAAGUCAUUUUCCAGUGAUGUGGCGAAUACUUAAAUUUUCUCUGGGACAAGAGUUAGAGCCACAAACCCGUUUGUCAAAAACUUCAAACUAAUCACCAACUACAAUUGAUUGUAAUGUAUUAUCAGAAAUACUAUAAGGCAAG